rfam:Triticum aestivum genome assembly, contig: Triticum_aestivum_CS42_TGACv1_scaffold_322111_4BL
GAAGUACUCCCUCCGUCCCAAAGUUUUGUCUUAAAUUUGUCUAGAUACGGAUGUAUCUAAUACUAAAAUGUGAUUAGAUACAUCCGUAUCUAGACAAAUUUAAGACAAAUUUUUUGGGACGGAGGGAGUAUAAU